AGAUGAAACUUAGAAGAUGAUUGAAUGGAAUGAGUUAGGAGACCGAUGUUUUAGAAGAUUAGGAUUUCUCAAGUGUUUUUUUACUUGGGCCAUAUAUGAGACCCGAUUUUUUUUAAGAAUUGGCUAAACAUAAAUGACAUGGCAGAGAGGAUUUUUCUUAUUGAUUAAUUUUUUGUGAUGACGUGGCACGCUUCCUGCUCACCGUAUCCGGCUUUUAAUAUUAUAGAUAUCCAUUGAAACAAAACGGUUAAAGGGAUAAACCAAUAACUUUGAUUUCAUUAUAAAAUUGAUACAUGUUUGUAGAAUUUUUCAAAAGUACAUAAAAUAUAUACCAAAAUACAAAAUAUACUUGAAAUACAAUAUUUGAUGAUUACAUACAGAAUAACAAAUACUUAAUGUAGUUUAGUGCAGAAUUUAGAUAGGAUGAAUGUAAUAAAUUUGCUAUUUAAAGUUUUAUAGAUUAAAAUUGACAUUUUAUGUUAAUUUACCUAACAUCUUUUUUUCUUUCAAAAAACAUACAUUUAAACAAAAUUAACCCACAUUACUUAUUUUGAUAGUUUGUUGAAUUUAUAAGAUCAAAAUUUAUAACUUUAGCUUGCCUGUUAUAUAUUAAAAAGAAUUGUCUGGCAAUAAUUAAGUUAAAUUUCAGCAAAAAAAAAGAUUAAAUAAAGUAAAUUCAUCUUUGGAUUCAGAAAUUCAAGCUCUGCUGUAAGGAAUACUGGAAAAGAAAAAUUCAACAAAUGAAAAAUCAGUCAACAAAUCAAAGAAAAACUGUAGAGAAUUGAAAACAUGCAAAACCUUCUUUGUCAAGGCCAAAACCUUAUGCUUCGUAUAUUCAACUCGAAGAUAAAUGCCGAGAGUGUAGUUAUGGUUGUCCAGGAGAAAAAUAUUUUAUGCUCGAUACUCUCUCUAAACCGUGACUAUUAUCGUACCAGUAUCAAUUGCUUCCCAUAAUUCCACCAAAUCAAUAUAAAAUCUUGUCGAUAAAUGAUUUUUAAGUACUAAUCUAGACGAAGAAAAAAAAAUUGUUGCAGAAAGAAAAGAAGAUAUAAAGAAACACAUGUCAAAAUUGAAAAUUUAAGAGAGAUUAUAAGAUCUUUUUUUGUUGGGGAAUAUAGAAAAAAGGGGAGAUAACAGAGGGUUGAGUACGAAGGUUGUAAGGAGAGGGUGGAGUCUCCUCUGUUUUUGGGGUUAUGCGCUCUGUUUCUGUUGUUUCCACGGGGCAUUACUCGGUUUGUUGUGUUGGUGUUGGUUGUCUGUAACUCUGUAUGGCAACGAUGAAAUAUAAAAGGAACUUUUUUUUUUUUUUUGUAACUGAAUAUAAAAGGAACUUUGAAGUCAAAAAAAAAACAGAGGGUUAUAAAAAAAGGAAAACAGUUUGAAAUCGUGGAAAUGAGAUUUUCUGAACGUGGAUGAAAUAUCAAGAUAUAAUUACUAAAAAUUAGGGAUGAAAAAGAAUUAUUUUCAAACACUUUUUUUUUAAAGUGUUUUCCAACUAUCAAAAUUUGAUUAGCCAUGUGACUUGUGCUUUAGUAUAUAAAGGAUAUACGAUUUUGAUUUAUUUUUUCUUUAAAAAAGAAAAUAAAUAAAAAUAAAUAUCUAGACCACGUCAGUUUAUAUGUAAAUUAUUUUAUUUUGUAAAAGUAUAUAUGAUUCACAUUAUAAAAGGAUAUCCGGAACCGAUCCGAACCGGUGUGAACCGGUGUGAACCAAAACUUAUUAAAUAACUAGGAUAUAUAAUUCAUUGAUCCGAACCCGAUCGGAUCUUACCUGAACCUGAGCUGAAUAUCCGAAAUCCCAACCUUAAUAGCUUAUAAAUCUAAUCCAUUAAUUAAGUGUCAUAUUUUUUAUCUACUAUUGACAAGUAAUAGUAAGACCAUUUAAAUAAUUACUUAAUGUAAAAUAUUUAAAUAUUUAUAUUAGAUCUUAAUACUCAAUAAGAUAUUAAUAAUAAAUCAAUAAAUUUGAAUUUUUUCAAUUCUAAGAAAAUCUGUUGAAACAAAUCUAACAAAAUCCUACCAAACAUUUUAAAUAUUUUUUAAAAAUCAUGCAUUAAUUAAUUUUGUAAUUAAUAAUAUAAUAACUUAAUUAGAAUUUAUCAUUAAAAAUUAUGUUAUUUUAUAAAUUUAUGAUUAUAAAUUAUCAAUACUAUUAAAAUAGGUGUGCUCUAUCAACUAAAUAUAAAAAAAAAUUACAUUAAAUUGGUAGAUUAACCUAUUUUUAAAAUGCUUUCAUUUAACUAAUUUUAUCAUUCAUCGAUAAAACAUCUUAAACUAUCUAAUAUUGUAUGCAAAAACUAAAAUCAUUAACAUAUGUUAAAAUUUUAUUUACAACUAUAUAUUAUUUUUUGUUUACUUUGGAAAAAAAUCAAUUAUAUUAUCUAAAAAUGAUUAAAUACAAAAUAUUAUAGUACAUAACUAACAUUUAGUUCAUGUAUUAUUUACAAAAUAUGUUACUAGAAAUAUUUGAAAUUUUAAUAACUAAUUAAAGGUAUUAAUAAAAAUUAUUUUCAUUAUCAAUUUAAUAUUUAUUUAAAUUAAAACAAAAUAU